rnacentral:rRNA from 1 species
UGGGGAAUAUUGCACAAUGGGCGCAAGCCUGAUGCAGCCAUGCCGCGUGUAUGAAGAAGGCCUUCGGGUUGUAAAGUACUUUCAGCGAGGAGGAAGGCGUUGUGGUUAAUAACCGCAACGAUUGACGUUACUCGCAGAAGAAGCACCGGCUAACUCCGUGCCAGCAGCCGCGGUAAUACGGAGGGUGCAAGCGUUAAUCGGAAUUACUGGGCGUAAAGCGCACGCAGGCGGUCUGUCAAGUCGGAUGUGAAAGCCCCGGGCUCAACCUGGGAACUGCAUCCGAAGCUGGCAGGCUAGAGUCUUGUAGAGGGGGGUAGAAUUCCAGGUGUAGCGGUGAAAUGCGUAGAGAUCUGGAGGAAUACCGGUGGCGAAGGCGGCCCCCUGGACAAAGACUGACGCUCAGGUGCGAAAGCGUGGGGAGCAAACA